UACGGGGGGGGCAAGCGUUGUUCGGAAUUACUGGGCGUAAAGGGCUCGUAGGUGGCCAACUAAGUCAGACGUGAAAUCCCUCAGCUUAACUGGGGAACUGCGUCUGAUACUGGAUGGCUUGAGUUUGGGAGAGGGAUGCGGAAUUCCAGGUGUAGCGGUGAAAUGCGUAGAUAUCUGGAGGAACACCAGCGGCGAAGGCGGCGCUCUGGGCCGGAACUGACGCUGAGGAGCGAAAGCGUGGGUAGCAAACAGG
rnacentral:rRNA from 1 species